rnacentral:lncRNA from 1 species
CCUCCCUCCCACCUCCCAGGUCUCCUCCUUUUGCGUUCCAAGGAUCCCCCCGGCGCAUCAGAUGUUACCGGGGUCACCCUGCAGAAGAGGAGCAAGCAGCUCUCCUUCCCACCGGCGCCUGCUGCAAUCUCAGGGGGCUCGGGGCUGCUCUCGGGUCCCAGGUUAAGCUGUCUCUGGGCCGGAAUUCCUGCACCCCGAGCGGCCGAGGCACGGUACGGGAGGGACGAGUCACCCCGGGCUGCCCUUGGCGGCUCCUGCCGAGGGCACCCGGGAAGUUUUCCGGCCAAGGAGAAGGCAGACGAGAGGCACGGGCGGGAGCGGCGGAGCGCGGGCAGGGGCCGAGCCGCGCCGCGCCGGGCCGGGCGGGGGCGGAGGAGGGGGCACGGCCGGGAGGUGGAGCCGGCUGCGCUGGCGGCUCCGGCGCUCCGCGGCUGCGGGCACGGGGCGCGCACGGCAGUGGGAGCCCAGCGCUGCCGGGAGCCGCCGCCGCUCGGUCCGGCCGGUCCGUGCCCGGAGCCGCCGCCGCGGGAGCCGCCAGUCAUCAAAGGAGCCUUUAAAGGAACCUCUAGGAGGCUGAUUGCUAAGACUCCAUAGAUCCCCAGGAAGACAAAGGAGGCCAAGGAGUGUGAGAUUUGUGAUUCAGUGUGUGGCUUUGUCACAUGCCUACCCAGGCUGAAGAUGAUAGAAAUCUUGGUGCUAUCUCACUUCAGGUUGGGUAAGUAUAUUAUGUUUGUUGCUUUGUGGGAUUUUCUUUUAAACUAGGCUUCUUAAAUGAAGAGCAGCAAUAUUUAAGCUUGUGUGUAAAUAAGCAGAGAACCCUGGCUUCAUCUUGUCUAAUCUGUUUAACCUUCAUCAACC